rnacentral:rRNA from 1 species
GACGAGCGCUGGCGGCGUGCUUAACACAUGCAAGUCGAACGGAAAGGCCCUGCUUUUGCGGGGUGCUCGAGUGGCGAACGGGUGAGUAACACGUGAGUAACCUGUCCUUGACUUUGGGAUAACUUCAGGAAACUGGGGCUAAUACCGGAUAGGAGCUCCUGCUGCACGGUGGGGGUUGGAAAGUUUCGGCGGUUUGGGCUGGUGUCGCGGCUUACCAGCUUGUUGGUGGGGUAGUGGCUUACCAAGGCUUUGACGGGUAGCCGGCCUGGGAGGGUGACCGGCCACAUUGGGACUGGGGUACGGCCCAGACGCCUACGGGAGGCAGCAGUGGGGAAUAUUGCACAAUGGGCGGAGGCCGGAUGCAGGAACGCCGCGUGCGGGAUGACGGCCUUCGGGUUGGAAACCGCUUUCGCCUGUGACGAAGCGUGAGUGACGGUAAUGGGUAAAGAAGCACCGGCUAACUACGU